rnacentral:rRNA from 1 species
UGAGGAAUAUUGGUCAAUGGGCGAGAGCCUGAACCAGCCAAGUCGCGUGAGGGAAGACGGUCCUAUGGAUUGUAAACCUCUUUUGCCGGGGAGCAAAAAGCGGUACGUGUACCGCAUCGAGAGUACCCGGAGAAAAAGCAUCGGCUAACUCCGUGCCAGCAGCCGCGGUAAUACGGAGGAUGCGAGCGUUAUCCGGAUUUAUUGGGUUUAAAGGGUGCGCAGGCGGCGAGUUAAGUCAGCGGUAAAAUUUCGGGGCUCAACCCCGACGAGCCGUUGAAACUGGCAGUCUCGAGUUGGAGAGAAGUAUGCGGAAUGCGCGGUGUAGCGGUGAAAUGCAUAGAUAUCGCGCAGAACUCCGAUUGCGAAGGCAGCAUGCCGGCUCCACACUGACGCUGAGGCACGAAAGCGUGGGUAUCGAACAGG